GUUCCCGUUGAUCCUGCGGGAGAUUGCUGCUAUGGGAGUUCGAUUAAGCCAUGCAAGUCAGAGGGCUCGCAAGAGCACAGGCUGAAUGCUCAGUAACACGUCAAUAAUCUGCCCUUAGAUCUGGGAUACCCUUGGGAAACUGAGGUUAAAACCGGAUAGGCAAAGGAUACCGGAAUGUUCCUUUGCUGAAAGGCAACGUCUAAGGAUGAGUUGGCGGCUGAUUAGGCUGUUGGUAGUGUAAAGGACUACCAAACCUUUGAUCAGUACGGGCCGUGAGAGCGGUAGCCCGGAGAAGGGUACUGAGAUACUGACCCUAGCCCUACGGGGUGCAGCAGGCGCGAAAACUUUACACUGUACGGAAGUGCGAUAAGGGAACUCCUAGUGCUCAUGUUUUACAUGGGCUUUUGUCAAGUGUAAAUAGCUUGGCGAAUAAGUGGUGGGUAAGACGGGUGCCAGCCGCCGCGGUAACCCCAGCACCACAAGUGGGGCUCGUAUUUAUUUGGUCUAAAGCGCUCGUAGCCGGUCAUGUAAAUCUCUUGUGAAAUCGUUGCGCUUAACGUAACGGCGUGCAGGAGAAACUGCAGGACUAGGGACUGGGAGGCGUAGAGGGUAUUCCUGGGGGAGCAGUAAAAUGCUAUAAUCCUAGGAGGACCACCUGUGGCGAAGGCGCUCUACGAGAACAGGUCCGACGGUGA
rnacentral:rRNA from 1 species